rnacentral:rRNA from 1 species
GACGAACGCUGGCGGCGUGCCUAAUACAUGCAAGUAGAACGCUGAAGGAGGAGCUUGCUCUUCUGGAUGAGUUGCGAACGGGUGAGUAACGCGUAGGUAACCUGCCUGGUAGUGGGGGAUAACUAUUGGAAACGAUAGCUAAUACCGCAUAAUAACAGUUGUUGCAUGACAACUGUUUGAAAGGUGCAAUUGCAUCACUACCAGAUGGACCUGCGUUGUAUUAGCUAGUUGGUGGGGUAACGGCUCACCAAGGCGACGAUACAUAGCCGACCUGAGAGGGGGAUCGGCCACACUGGGACUGAGACACGGCCCAGACUCCUACGGGAGGCAGCAGUAGGGAAUCUUCGGCAAUGGACGAAAGUCUGACCGAGCAACGCCGCGUGAGUGAAGAAGGUUUUCGGAUCGUAAAGCUCUGUUGUAAGAGAAGAACGAGUGUGAGAGUGGAAAGUUCACACUGUGACGGUAGCUUACCAGAAAGGGACGGCUAACUACGUG